AUUGAACGCUGGCGGCAGGCCUAACACAUGCAAGUCGAGCGAGACGCGGACGGGUGUGUAGUGUCUGGGAAACUCCCUGGUGGAGGGAGAUAUAUACGAAAAAGGAUAGAUAAUACCGCAUAACAUGAUAUGUGCACAGGUGGGAUGAGCUAGGAGGUGGGUUAGGGGCUCACCUAGGCGACGAUCCCUAGCUGGUCUGAGAGGAUGACCAGCCACACUGGAACUGAGACACGGUCCAGACUCCUACGGGAGGCAGCAGUGGGGAAUAUUGCACAAUGGGCGCAAGCCUGAUGCAGCCAUGCCGCGUGUGUGAAGAAGGCCUUCGGGUUGUAAAGCACUUUCAGCGAGGAGGCGUCACUCGCAGAAGAAGCACCGGCUAACUCCGUGCCAGCAGCCGCGGUAAUUC
rnacentral:rRNA from 1 species